rnacentral:rRNA from 1 species
UACGGAGGAUGCGAGCGUUAUCCGGAUUUAUUGGGUUUAAAGGGUGCGUAGGCGGACGCUUAAGUCAGCGGUAAAAUUGCGGGGCUCAACCUCGUCGAGCCGUUGAAACUGGGUGCCUUGAGUGGGCGAGAAGUACGCGGAAUGCGUGGUGUAGCGGUGAAAUGCAUAGAUAUCACGCAGAACUCCGAUUGCGAAGGCAGCUUACCAAACUAUAUCUGACGUUGAGGCACGAAAGCGUGGGUAGCAAACAGG